rnacentral:lncRNA from 1 species
ACGGUAAACCCAAGUGGAAGAAAACAGACUCCGAGAAAAAUCAGGGCAUCCACGCAACAGGAGGGGGCACUGGUGUCGCACCCGCUGAACAAUGAGCCCGACCCUCCAUCUUGUGGGGGCACUGGUGUCCCACAUGGCAAUGUGGCUGCCAAGCCCGUACAACAGUGGCAGCGCCCGCGCUGGUUGGCCGGUGCUCUCAAUGCUGCCAGCCGCCAUUCCCGAAGCCACAGUGAACGAGCAUGACGACUGGCAUGAUGCCUGAUUCACCUGCCUCACCGCUGCUGGACUGGG